CUUCCAGUGCAGCCAGCAGGGAACACACUGUCCCCAUGGGUUUCCUGCCCCUGGCUCAGGAGGCUGCCAGAACAGUGCCCAGAGGCACCACUGCUUCCUGUGCCUCCAGUCCCAGCUGGAGCAGGCUGUGCUGGAUAUGCAGCCAGGGUUUGUCCUCAUAAGAAAAAAAAAGAGAGAAAAUAAAAGGAUGGAAAGCUGUAAGCAGAACAAAAGAUCCAGCAGCUAGCAGCAGACAACAGCCAUGUGUUUCCUGAGGGGUAUUUUUAAGCUGUUCUUACACAGAUGUUGCCAUUCAAAAGACAGAAGCCUGGGAAUAUGCAGAAGGCGUUACAAUUUUAUUUUUUUUCCUCAUGCCAACUGACCAUCCAGUGGCCUUGAAAAAUCAUCACAAGCUUUUGGAAGUGUGACAUGUCUCCAAAGGACUCUUCCCAUCCUUUGGCUACAGAAAAUAGCUCAGAGCAUGCAGAGCCAGGCAUCAGUAGCAGGAGUAUGAAGAACACAAGAACAAGAGGGCAAGGCCAUGGAGGAGAAGCACAUUAAUAAAUUUGUACCAGCAGAAGA